GCGAGAGUGGUGAAACUGGCAGACACGCCAGACUUAGGAUCUGGUGCCUCAGGCAUAAGGGUUCGAGUCCCUUCUCUCGCA
rnacentral:tRNA from 1 species